GUCUCCGUAGGUGAACCUGCGGAGGGAUCAUUACNAAGUGACCCCGGUCUAACCACCGGGAUGUUCAUAACCCUUUGUUGUCCGACUCUGUUGCCUCCGGGGCGACCCUGCCUUCGGGCGGGGGCUCCGGGUGGACACUUCAAACUCUUGCGUAACCUUGCAGUCUGAGUAAACUUAAUUAAUAAAUUAAAACUUUUAACAACGGAUCUCUUGGUUCUGGCAUCGAUGAAGAACGCAGCGAAAUGCGAUAAGUAAUGUGAAUUGCAGAAUUCAGUGAAUCAUCGAAUCUUUGAACGCACAUUGCGCCCCCUGGUAUUCCGGGGGGGCAUGCCUGUUCGAGCGUCAUUUCACCACUCAAGCCUCGCUUGGUAUUGGGCAACGCGGUCCGCCGCGUGCCUCAAAUCGACCGGCUGGGUCUUCUGUCCCCUAAGCGUUGUGGAAACUAUUCGCUAAAGGGUGCUCGGGAGGCUACGCCGUAAAACAAACCCAUUUUCUAAGGUUGACCUCGGAUCAGGUAGGGAUACCCGCUGAACUUAAGCAUA
rnacentral:rRNA from 1 species